CAUGUAGGCGGCAUGGCAAGUUUGGUGUGAAAUAUCCCGGCUCAACCGGGAAGACGCGCUGAAAACUGCCAAGCUAGAGUGUAGGAAGGGAAGCUGGAAUUCCUAGUGUAGGGGUGAAAUCUGUAGAUAUUAGGAAGAAUACCGGUGGCGAAGGCGAGCUUCUGGCCAUACACUGACGCUGAUAUGCGAAAGCGUGGGGAGCGAACA
rnacentral:rRNA from 1 species